rnacentral:rRNA from 1 species
AGUCGAACGGCAGCACGGGGGUAACCCUGGUGGCGAGUGGCGAACGGGUGAGGAAUGCACCGGAACGUGUCUUCAAGUGGGGGAUAACGCAUCGAAAGGUGUGCUAAUACCGCAUAAUCUCUGAGGAGAAAAGCAGGGGAUCGCAAGACCUUGCGCUUUUGGAGCGGCCGAUGCCUGAUUAGCUUGUUGGUGAGGUAAAAGCUCACCAAGGCUUCGAUCAGUAGCUGGUCUGAGAGGACGACCAGCCACACUGGGACUGAGACACGGCCCAGACUCCUACGGGAGGCAGCAGUGGGGAAUUUUGGACAAUGGGGGCAACCCUGAUCCAGCCAUGCCGCGUGAGUGAAGAAGGCCUUCGGGUUGUAAAGCUCUUUCAGCCGGAACGAAACGGUUACGGUUAAUACCCGUGACUACUGACGGUACCGGAAGAAGAAGCACCGGCUAACUACGUGCCAGCAGCCGCGGUAAUACGUAGGGUGCGAGCGUUAAUCGGAAUUACUGGGCGUAAAGCGUGCGCAGGUGGUUUUGUAAGUCAGAUGUGAAAUCCCCGGGCUUAACCUGGGAACUGCGUUUGAAACUGCGAGGCUAGAGUGUGGCAGAGGGG